AACGAACGCUGGCGGCAUGCCUAACACAUGCAAGUCGAACGAGACCUUCGGGUCUAGUGGCGCACGGGUGCGUAACGCGUGGGAACCUGCCCUUAGGUUCGGAAUAACUCCCCGAAAGGGGUGCUAAUACCGGAUAAUGUCUUCGGACCAAAGAUUUAUCGCCUUUGGAUGGGCCCGCGUUGGAUUAGCUAGUUGGUAGGGUAAAAGCCUCCCAAGGCGACGAUCCAUAGCUGGUCUGAGAGGAUGCUCAGCCACACUGGGACUGAGACACGGCCCAGACUCCUACGGGAGGGAGCAGUGGGGAAUAGUGGACAAGGGGCGAAAGCCUGAUACAGCAACGCCGCGUGAGUGAUGAAGGUCUUAGGGUUGUAAAGCUCUUUUAACCGGGAUGAUAAUGACAGUACCGGGAGAAUAAGCCCCGGCUAACUCCGUG
rnacentral:rRNA from 1 species